rnacentral:rRNA from 1 species
CCUACGGGUGGCUGCAGUGGGGAAUAUUGGGCAAUGGAGGAAACUCUGACCCAGCAAUGCCGCGUGAAUGAAGAAGGUCUUCGGAUUGUAAAGUUCUUUAGUCAGUGAAGAAUAAAAUGACGGUACCUGCAGAAUAAGCUCCGGCUAACUACGUGCCAGCAGCCGCGGUAAUACGUAGGGAGCCAGCGUUGUUCGGAAUGACUGGGCGGACAGGGUGCGUAGGCGGUUAUACAAGUUAGAAGUGAAAUACCCAGGGCUUAACUCGGGUGCUGCUUCUAAAACUGUAAGACUUGAGUGCAUUAGAGGUUAGGGGAAUUGGUAGUGUAGCGGUGGAAUGCGUAGAUAUUAGGAGGAACACCAGAGGCGAAGGCGGCUAACUGGACUGCAACUGACGCUGAGGCACGAAAGUGUGGGGAGUAAACAGGAGUAGAUACCCGGGUAGUC